rnacentral:lncRNA from 1 species
GUUGACGGAGCAGUUGAUGGUGGUAGAGGUUAGGAGCAACGGCGGCUAGGGGGCUAGGGUUUUUGUUCUUUUUUUUUUUUGCUGAAAAUUAUUUAGGUUAUGGGCCAUUAGGUUUUUGUGUUAUUUGGGUUUGUAACUUUUGGGCUUUUAGGUCUUGGAAAUGGACUUUUGGACUUAAUGGAUUUUUUUUUAUUUGGUUUUUUUGUUUGGGCCCGGAUGAAAUUGGGCUUUUACAGACUUAAUUACUAUUUGAUAGUAAUUGGCUUUUCAUGAAGAAAGAUCUAAUGGUCACCAUAGGAUAAAAUAAGAUAAUAUUUGGAGAACGAAUUUUUCCCAAAGAGAUUAAGGAUAUCUUAUGAGGGUAACACACUUAUGAUAAGGUCAUUAGAUGAGCACUGAUUGAGUAGUUUUUGUAAUGGUACGUAAUUAGGGAGAGCUCAGCUACGAUAUUAUAGUAAAAUGAUUUCGUGACUAAAUGAGUUUAUAAUUAAUAGGUAAAAAGCUGGAACUUAAUUAUAAAUUGUAAC